rnacentral:rRNA from 1 species
AGCAGCCGCGGUAAUUCCAGCUCCAAUAGCGUAUAUUAAAGUUGUUGCAGUUAAAAAGCUCGUAGUUGAAUUUCGAGACCGGCUUAUUGGUCGUGCUUUUGUACGUACUGGUAUGAUUGGUUUCUCCUUUCUGACGAACCAUGAUGUCAUUAAUUUGGUGUUAUGGGAAGUUAGGACUGUUACUUUGAAAAAAU